rnacentral:ncRNA from 1 species
CUUAUCCAGAGUGGUGGAGGGACUGGCCCUAUGAAGCCCGGCAACCUGUUUUUACAAGGUGCUAAUUCCAGCGAUUAUUCGGAAGAUAAGA